AGGGUGAGCCUUUCCUAAUACAGGAAUCCCGUGGAGCAGAAGGGCAAAAGCUCGCUUGAUCUUGAUUUUCAGUACGAAUACAGACCACGAAAGCGG
rnacentral:ncRNA from 1 species